GUGCUCGCUUCGGCAGCACACAUACUAAAAUUGGAACGAAACAGAGAAGAUUAGCAUGGCCCCUGUGCAAGGAUGACACACAAAUUCGUGGAGCGUUCCAUAGUUUU
rnacentral:snRNA from 1 species